GUUUGGUCCCAACCUUGAAAUCAGUUUUUACUUAACUUACACAUGCAAGUCUCCGCACACCCGUGAAAACGCCCUUCCCACCCUACAGGAAUAAGGAGCUGAUAUCAGGCAUAUAUUCCCCCAAAACAUCUAGCCACGCCACACCCACAAGGGCCCUCAGCAGUGAUUAACAUUAAAAAUAAACGUCAGUUUGACUUAGUCAAAUGAAAACAGAGCCGGCCAAUCUGGUGCCAGCCGCCGCGGUUACACCAUGUGGCUCAAAUUGAUCUCAACACGGCGUAAAGCGUGAUUAAAGAAGUAUACCUCUGGGGGUCAAACUAAAACUAAGCUGUAGUACGCCUGUUUUUAAGAAGUCCUAUUUCGAAAGAUACCCCUAUUCACCAACUUGAACUCACAACAACUAGAAUACAAACUGGGAUUAGAUACCCCACUAUGCCUAGUCAUAAACUUUAACUUACACCUCAAUCGCCAGGGAACUACGAGCAAAGCUUAAAACCCAAAGGACUUGACGGUACCCCAUAUCCCCCUAGAGGAGCCUGUCCUAUAACCGAUACCCCCCGUUCAACCUCACCAUUUUUAGUUUCCCAGCCUGUAUACUUCCGUCGCCAGCUUACCGUGUGAACGAAUUCAGUAAGCCCAAUGUAAAUCACCAAAACGUCAGG
rnacentral:rRNA from 1 species